AUUGAACGCUGGUGGCAGGCUUAACACAUGCAAGUCGAGCGGGGUGAUGGUGCUUGCACUAUCACUUAGCGGCGGACGGGUGAGUAAUGCUUAGGAAUCUGCCUAUUAGUGGGGGACAACAUCUCGAAAGGGAUGCUAAUACCGCAUACGUCCUACGGGAGAAAGCAGGGGAUCACUUGUGACCUUGUGCUAAUAGAUGGGCCUAAGUCGGAUUAGCUAGUUGGUGGGGUAAAGGCCUACCAAGGCGACGAUCUGUAGCGGGUCUGAGAGGAUGAUCCGCCACACUGGGACUGAGACACGGCCCAGACUCCUACGGGAGGCAGCAGUGGGGAAUAUUGGACAAUGGGGGGAACCCUGAUCCAGCCAUGCCGCGUGUGUGAAGAAGGCCUUAUGGUUGUAAAGCACUUUAAGCGAGGAGGAGGCUCUUUUGGUUAAUACCCAAGAUGAGUGGACGUUACUCGCAGAAUAAGCACCGGCUAACUCUGUGCCAGCCGCCGCAGUAA
rnacentral:rRNA from 1 species